UACUGUCAAUGGUUUACUUCUUAGGAAUGUUAAAAAAAAGAUUACUACGUGAUUUUUUGAAUAUGCCUAUAUCUAUCGCUUUUGCUUCAUUGAUUUGAUUCUCUCAAUAGAUACUGAGAUUCAUAUUGGAAAUCAAAAAUAUAGUACUUCAAACUAUAAGACAUAGGAGUAAUUCAGAUUGAUCAGAACAAAUAGAUAUAGCAAAUAAAUGGAAUUGGAUGCUAUGUCAAUCCCAUAUAUGGAAUUGAUAUUCACAUAUAUCAAGAUAAUAUUGUAGAUUGAUAUAUAGAUCCAUAUCAAAUGCAGCCUCUAUCUUUAUUUUAUUCCAGGGGGCACCUUUAUAACAAGAAUCUAACUAAUA
rnacentral:lncRNA from 1 species